GUGCGUUUGGUCUCGUGCUCUCAGCGCCUCGUCUCAGGAUGAGGUGGCUCAGUGGUUUAAUGUCAGGCUGGCUCAGUACCUGCCCCUCCUCAGCUCUCAGCUCAUCAGCCCCACCCAGCUUAGCAGCGCAUCCUGCCUGUCAUACAGGAAACUGGUUUCAAUCCUGGGGAACAACUAUAAUUACUCAGCCACUGAUUUCACUCCAGCUGUUGUGUACAGCUCUAUAAAGGCUUAUCUGAACAGCAGUGGUGGGACUCCCCGCUGCUAUA